CAGCCUUGUCUACAAGUCAUUUGUUACAUUACAGCAUUUCCUGAAAUUUAGCAAAUUCUUGAAAAGAAAGAUUUAAUCUUCUCAGGAGAAGCUGGGGAAGAUUUAUAGACGCCUAUUCUUAACAUGUCAAAAUGUGGCUUGGCUGCUAAAUUUACUGGGACCGCCUACACAGCUGAGGAUUUCUGUGACUCUGCUGGAAAUAAUGGCUUUAGGAGUAAUUUAAAAUAAAUACUUUCGCAAGUGCACCAAUAGAAAUAUUUCACUGUCAUUGAGCAGAAAGCUAAAAACCUAAUUACUUGGAACUAGGAAGAGGAAGUAAGUAUGGUUGGAAGAGGUGGGAGUCUGGUGCUGCUGGAGCAGAAAGCACAAAGAAGAACGUGCUUUUAUGUGGGUGCCCUAAGAGACAUGAUAAGUGA
rnacentral:lncRNA from 1 species